rnacentral:rRNA from 1 species
AGAGAUGUGUGAUGACGCAUAUCAAUAAGCGGAGGAAAAGAAACUAACAAGGAUUCCCUUAGUAACGGCGAGUGAAGCGGGAAGAGCUCAAAUUUGAAAUCUUCAAGGUUCUACCUUGACGAAUUGUAGUUUAUAGAAGUGUUUUCUGUUAGUGGAGUGGCAAAAGUUCUUUGGAAUAGGACAUCAUAGAGGGUGAGAAUCCCGUAUUUGGUCAUUCUUUCUAGCUUUGUGAUACACUUUCAACGAGUCGGAUUGUUUGGGAAUGCAGUCCAAAAUGGGUGGUAAAUUUCAUCUAAAGGCUAAAUAUUAGGCGAGAGACCGAUAGCGAACAAGGUACCGUGAGGGAAAGAUGAAAAGAACUUUGAAAAGAGAGUUAAACAGUACGUGAAAUUGUCAAAAGGGAAGCGUUUGACACCAGUGUUGUUUUUCCGAAAAUCAAUUAAGAAUGUUUUAGUUUUUGAGGAGUUAUCGACUUCAUCGGCUUGCUCCUCUCUUUAUGAAACUUUCUUAAUGCACUUUUCGGUUAACAAGUCAACAUCAAUUUCUUUUGUUGUAAAAGGAGUAGUGAGGGAAGGUGGCUUUCUUUUCGGAGAAAGUGUUUAUAGCCCUUGUACCUUCUGCAAUCGGAGAGAUUGAGGUCUGCAGCGUAGAUCCUUCGGGGUUAGAUACAUUUGUGCUAAGUUAUAGCUUUUCAUAGACAACUUGUUGAUUAUGUUAAGUCCUUGUAGCAUACUCGCUUAUGCUAUUUUACCUACGCUUAGGAUGUUGAUCUGUAGUGCGUGCGC